GUGGUGUAUCCAAAAAAAUGGUGAAGGAACUGUGAGGGAUGUCAGAGUUAAGCCCAAAUUUGAGUAUGUGGAUGAAUUAUUUGAGAGUGUGUUGCUGUCAAUAAAAGACAAAGACGCAUUAUCAAAUUCACAAAAUUUUUUGAAAGAAAUGUCCCCACCACCAAUGAAUGUCAUGCUGCCAAAGCAACCCAGAUCUGAGGUGAUACUAAAACAGGUCCGUUGAAAAUGCAUUGUGGUCAAUGAUGUCCCCCCCUCAAUUCCAGGUAAUUAAUAAUGAUUAUAUAACAUGUAGCUAAAAAUGGUUUGAAAAUCAUUUUAAACAAUAAAAAUGUUUUUGUUUCAUGCCAGCAGCUACAAGUGUGCCAUUCAGCUGUCAGUCAAAUGUGGCAGUUUCAAA